rnacentral:rRNA from 1 species
UACGUAGGUGGCAAGCGUUGUCCGGAUUUAUUGGGUUUAAAGGGUGCGUAGGCGGCUCUGCACGUCCGUUGUGAAAUCGCCCGGCUCAACUGGGCGGGGUCAGCGGAUACGGCGGAGCUUGAGCAAGCUAGGGGGCAAUGGAAUUCCCGGUGUAGUGGUGGAAUGCGUAGAUAUCGGGAGGAACACCAGUGGCGAAGGCGGUUGCCUGGGGCUUUGCUGACGCUGAUGCGCGAAAGCGUGGGGAGCGAUCCGG